AACGGAAACUUCUAUUCCUGUUAUUUGACUGUUAGGUUUUCUGGGUUAAUCCUUUCUCUCAUGUCUUGCUUUUGCCCAUAAUUUUUAUUUCCUGAUCUCUAUUUGCUAUCUUUGUGGGAAGGAAACUGGGAUGAACUUUAUAUUCAUGGAAAGAUAAAGUUCCAUAGAAAUUUUUACUUUGCGUGCUCUAGCUUUAUUUAUUAAGAGCUCUUCUUUCCUCACUGAUUAAUAAAUUCUUGUUUUAUGGAUACAUUAUCUUCUCAUAUCUUUCCAAGGAUGUUAUGUUAAGGUUGUUUUAUGGAUGCAUUAUCUUCUCAUAUCUCUCCAAGGAUGACAUUUAGCACAAAUCCCUUCCUUUCCUUUCCCUUUCUCUUUCUCUUUCUCUCUCUUUCUUUCUUUCUUUUCUCCCUUUCUGGCUCUGUCUUUCUCUUUCUUCCUCCCUUUGUCUCUCCUUUUUAAAAAAUUAACCCAAACUUUGGCAUAUUGAGAAAUAAUGUGGGAAAAGAGGUAAGGCAGAUGAAAGACCAAGAAACCACUUUUAUUAAACAAUUGAAGAGUCAGGUAGAGGAUGCAGUUUAGUCUAAGAGUCCAGUGGGCCUGCAAACUCAACCCCAGAACUGGGAAACUUAGGCAGCCAAUCACGGGCAAUGCUGAACUGGGACAGGACUCCUCCCAUGGUACGACUGUUCUCACUGAGGGGUAGAAAAAAACAUGCUCUGUCUUGGAAAGACUCACUCCCAGGAGGAAAGGGUGGAGCUGAACUAAGUCUGACCGGUUCUUUCUCCCAGACUCACCUUUACUGCCCUGUGGGAGAGGCUAGUGGGAGGGUGGGCAAGGCCAGAGCGUGUCCUGCCUCCAUGUGGAGGGAGAUACGGGAAGCUGCAUGUCACCACGGAGACUUCCUUGUUCGUGUCUAUAUGGUUCAUACAUGGCCUUCCCCUUAAUUAAAGAUGUCUUCCGAGGAACAUUUUGUCUAAGCCUGAUUGAACCCCAACCAGAGGCUGAGGCAGGAGAAUCACUUGAACCCAAGAGGCAGAGGUUGCAGUGAGCCGAGAUUGCACCAUUGCACUCCAGCCUGGGCAACAAGAGCAAAACUCCAUCUCAAAAAAAAAAAGAAAAGAAAAACUAGAACCUCAUUUAUUACUACUGAGAACUGUAGAACUGCAAAGUGGUUCUAAAGUUGUAGAACCACUUUAGAAAAAAUUGGGCGAUUUCUUGUAAAGUUAACACAUUCACUGUAUGAUUCAGAAAUUUCAUUACUAUGUUGUAUGUAAGAAAUGAAAACACAUGUCUACAAAAGAAUUAUAUAUAAAUGUUUAUUGUAGUUUUAUUUGUAAUAACAAAAAGCUGGAGACAAUUCAGAUAUUCAUCAAACAGUGAAUGGAUAAACAAAUCGUGAUAUAUUCAUUCAAUGGAACACUUCUUCAGCAAUAAAAAGCAAAAAGCUACUGAUACAUGCAACAUCAUGGCUAUGUCUCAAAAUCAUUACGAUGAUGAAAGAGGGUAGAGUAAAUAAUAUGUGAUUCUAUCUAUACAAAAUUGUACAGCAAACAAAACUAGUUUGCAAUGACAGAAAGCAGUUUAGUGGUUGUGGUUAAAGGUAGAGUUGGAGAACUUUUUUUGGAGUGAAAAUGUAUGUUCAAUAUAUUAAUUGUGGUCAUGGUUACACUAAUGUUUAUGUUUUUCAAAACUCACAAAACUGUAUUAUGUAUAAAUGCAUAUAAUAUAUUGUAUGUAAAUUUGAACCUAAAUUAAAUUGAUUUAAAAAGAAAAAAUCAAUAAAAAUAUUAAGAAAUACACUUCUAAAUAAACCGUGAGGCACAGAGUCAAUUAUAAUGGAAACAAAAAAAAUUUGAAUUGAAUGAUAUUAAAAAUAUUAGAUGUCAAAACUUCCUGUUAAACAAGUACUUAGUGGGAA
rnacentral:lncRNA from 10 species